rnacentral:rRNA from 1 species
UACGUAGGGUGCAAGCGUUGUCCGGAAUUAUUGGGCGUAAAGAGCUCGUAGGCGGUGUGUCACGUCGGCCGUGAAAACCUGCAGCUUAACUGUGGGCGUGCGGUCGAUACGGGCAUCACUGGAGUUCGGCAGGGGAGACUGGAAUUCCUGGUGUAGCGGCGAAAUGCGCAGAUAUCAGGAGGAACACCGGUGGCGAAGGCGGGUCUCUGGGCCGAUACUGACGCUGGAGGCGCGAAAAGCGUGGGGAGCGAACAGG